rnacentral:rRNA from 1 species
UACGAAGGGUGCAAACGUUGCUCGGAAUUAUUGGGCGUAAAGCGCGCGUAGGUGGCCUCAUAAGUCCGCUGUGAAAGUCAAAGGCUCAACCUUUGAAAGCCGGUGGAUACUGUGAGGCUAGAGUACGGAAGAGGCGAGUGGAAUUCCUGGUGUAGCGGUGGAAUGCGCAGAUAUCAGGAGGAACACCAAUAGCGAAGGCAGCUCGCUGGGACGUUACUGACACUGAGGCGCGAAAGCGUGGGGAGCGAACAGG